UACGGAGGGUGCGAGCGUUGUCCGGAAUUAUUGGGCGUAAAGGGCUCGUAGGCGGUUUGUCGCGUCGGGAGUGAAAACUCAGGGCUUAACCCUGAGCCUGCUUCCGAUACGGGCAGACUAGAGGUAUGCAGGGGAGAACGGAAUUCCUGGUGUAGCGGUGAAAUGCGCAGAUAUCAGGAGGAACACCGGUGGCGAAGGCGGUUCUCUGGGCCGAUACUGACGCUGAGGAGCGAAAGCGUGGGGAGCGAACAGG
rnacentral:rRNA from 1 species